rnacentral:rRNA from 1 species
AACGAACGCUGGCGGCAGGCCUAACACAUGCAAGUCGAGCGAGACCUUCGGGUCUAGCGGCGGACGGGUGAGUAACGCGUGGGAACGUGCCCUUUUCUACGGAAUAGCCUCGGGAAACUGAGCGUAAUACCGUAUACGCCCUUUGGGGGAAAGAUUUAUCGGAGAAGGAUCGGCCCGCGUUGGAUUAGGUAGUUGGUGGGGUAAUGGCCUACCAAGCCGACGAUUCAUAGCUGGGUUGAGAGGAUGAUCAGCCACACUGGGACUGAGACACGGCCCAGACUCCUACGGGAGGCAGCAGUGGGGAAUCUUAGACAAUGGGGGCAACCAUGAUCUAGCCAUGCCGCGUGAGUGAUGAAGGCCUUAGGGAUGUAAAGCGCUUUCAGCUGGGAAGAUAAUGACGGUACCAGAAGAAGAAGCCCCGGCUAACUCCGUG